GUUGUACAUACAUGUACCGGUAUGUACAACACUUUGGUACAGUUCUUUUCCUCCCUCCUUAAGCCCUUAAUUCAUAAGCUUACAGUCCUUGAGCUGUAAACCUGUUUGUGAACCCUGUGAGUCAUGUGACCAAUGUCGUCUGCUGAUGUUAUGGCCUUCCCACAGCUUAGACCCAGCUACCUCUUAUCCUUGGCUACUUGUGAUCUUCCAGCAAUAAUUUAUUUACAAAAAAUAUAUUUCAGAACAUAGAUUUAACCUAGUCAGUACUGAUAUGCAUGAAAUCAUGCUGCAACAUGACUUUUUGUACAAUUUCUAAUGUACAUGAACAUCUAGUUAGAAACAGGGAAAAUUAAGAGUUAAUAUGUGAAUUAUUACUUAGCAAUUAACAUGUAAUUUGUAGGUAAUACAUAAUCACAUUUCAUGUAUGAUAUCUGGGUGUAUAUUUUUUACAUUUAUAAAGUGAAUUUAAACAAUAUUUUGGUAUAUAAUAUGUUAUUGGGUCCAUAUAUCGUUUAAAUUUACUACAGCAUAACAUUUUCAUUUCCAAUUUUAUUUCUUCCUUUGUUAAGUUUCUUUUUUUUUGUUUCAAAAAUUCUGAUUCAGUAUACCUCUUCCUGCCCUUUUUACAGGAAUUUCUUUUUGAAUAUCCUUCCAACCUUUAAAUUUUAACACUGUUAUAUUUUGUAAUUUUCAUUUGCCUUUUCAACACUGAAUGAAAACUAAGUCUAUUUUAUUUAAUUGAAAUUUCUUGAUGUAUUAUAACUAAUUACCGUAACCUAAAUUUUGCGGUAAUGAAUCAUAUUUAAUUCAUUAAUGAAUAAAAUCAGGUAACUUAAUUGUUAGGCGGGCUUUAUUUUUAUCAUACUUCACCCAUUUUAAAGAGAGUAAGACAAAUUAUAGAGAUGGGCAUGAUUAAUCACAAGGGAUUUUUCGUUAUUGCCAAAAAUUGAUAGCAUUAUGGAAAUCAUAAAACUGUAUUAACUUAUAUACAUGUAUUACGGUUCUGGUUGAAAAUUGAACUUACAGUACUUACUGAAUAUACAUGUAUAUCUUAUAUGUAUAGCCUCCUUAUUGAAGUUUGUAGAUUUUUUAUUUAUUAUUUGUUAUGAAGUUCUUGGAAAUUAACAAGUUUGUUAUUCUAUAUGUACUUGAUAUGUUGGGUACGUGUUAUAUUACUUGAUUCUUUACAAUUGAAUGUCUCUAAUUUUAGUGCAACAGAGUUCAUUUACAUUGUUAUAUUACAUUGCAUAGCUAGUUUGAUUUGUUUGCUGAUUUCCGUUACAAGUUCUUGGUAAUUUUAUCUCUAUCUGAAUAAUAAAUUAUACUGUUGUGUGAACUGUAUUGAGCCAAUGGUGCCAUAUGAUUGAGUAUACUCUUGUUGCUAAUAAAAGAACCAAAAAAAAGGCAUUAAAGCUUCAGAGU
rnacentral:sRNA from 1 species